rnacentral:rRNA from 1 species
UCCAACCUACGGGAGGCAGCAGUGGGGAAUAUUGGACAAUGGGGGGAACCCUGAUCCAGCGACGCCGCGUGAGUGAAGAAGUAUUUCGGUAUGUAAAGCUCUAUCAGCAGGGAAGAAAAUGACGGUACCUGACUAAGAAGCCCCGGCUAACUACGUGCCAGCAGCCGCGGUAAUACGUAGGGGGCAAGCGUUAUCCGGAUUUACUGGGUGUAAAGGGAGCGUAGACGGUGCAGCAUGUCUGAUGUGAAAGGUCUGGGCCCAACCCCGGGACUGCAUUGGAAACUGUUGAACUGGAGUACAGGAUG